UCCUUGGCCCAAGGGACAUGCAAGGGCUGCUAUUGUGAUGUGUGGCUUGAGUCAGACCUACAGGCUGGCGUGUCUGGCACAUGAAACCCUAUUUCAGGACAUGAUUUACACAUGAAACCCUGUGUCAGGGCAGAGUCAAAUAUGGAAAGGGAAGGAGAUAAACGAUGAACCAGAGGUUGGAGGAAAUGGAAGCCUAUGAACGGAAAUGGGCCUCAGUUCUUGGAGCUAGAGAUGGAGCCAGUGUUCCAGGAAACACGUCAAUACCCUCAUGGAAACCUGGAGUUACCGGGAAGAGAUAAAGAAACACUAGUUGGCAGCAAAUACCUGUUACCAUCAGGACGGCUGAACUGUCCAAUGUACUAGAGGGCAUCAUCUUUCUUCCAGCUUCUAAGGAGGUCAAGAGAUUCUUUGCCUCUGGCAGUGAGAUAUGAAUGGAAGUUGGAGGACUUACACUAACUGAGUUAUGAAAAGGCUACAUUGGUCAAGACGGUUUGGCAUCGGGGGAGAUCCCACAGAGAUCAACAGAACAGAGCUCCGAAAUAGACCUGCAUAUACAUAGACAGCUGAUUUCGACCAGGAUAAGGUAGCUCCACGGACAAGUAUGCUGCACCAACUGGAUAUGUCAAAAAUAAAAAUAAAGAGCAUUGACCUCUU